rfam:Staphylococcus aureus subsp. aureus NCTC 8325, complete genome.
UUUAUGGAGAGUUUGAUCCUGGCUCAGGAUGAACGCUGGCGGCGUGCCUAAUACAUGCAAGUCGAGCGAACGGACGAGAAGCUUGCUUCUCUGAUGUUAGCGGCGGACGGGUGAGUAACACGUGGAUAACCUACCUAUAAGACUGGGAUAACUUCGGGAAACCGGAGCUAAUACCGGAUGAUAUUUUGAACCGCAUGGUUCAAAAGUGAAAGACGGUCUUGCUGUCACUUAUAGAUGGAUCCGCGCUGCAUUAGCUAGUUGGUAAGGUAACGGCUUACCAAGGCAACGAUGCAUAGCCGACCUGAGAGGGUGAUCGGCCACACUGGAACUGAGACACGGUCCAGACUCCUACGGGAGGCAGCAGUAGGGAAUCUUCCGCAAUGGGCGAAAGCCUGACGGAGCAACGCCGCGUGAGUGAUGAAGGUCUUCGGAUCGUAAAACUCUGUUAUUAGGGAAGAACAUAUGUGUAAGUAACUGUGCACAUCUUGACGGUACCUAAUCAGAAAGCCACGGCUAACUACGUGCCAGCAGCCGCGGUAAUACGUAGGUGGCAAGCGUUAUCCGGAAUUAUUGGGCGUAAAGCGCGCGUAGGCGGUUUUUUAAGUCUGAUGUGAAAGCCCACGGCUCAACCGUGGAGGGUCAUUGGAAACUGGAAAACUUGAGUGCAGAAGAGGAAAGUGGAAUUCCAUGUGUAGCGGUGAAAUGCGCAGAGAUAUGGAGGAACACCAGUGGCGAAGGCGACUUUCUGGUCUGUAACUGACGCUGAUGUGCGAAAGCGUGGGGAUCAAACAGGAUUAGAUACCCUGGUAGUCCACGCCGUAAACGAUGAGUGCUAAGUGUUAGGGGGUUUCCGCCCCUUAGUGCUGCAGCUAACGCAUUAAGCACUCCGCCUGGGGAGUACGACCGCAAGGUUGAAACUCAAAGGAAUUGACGGGGACCCGCACAAGCGGUGGAGCAUGUGGUUUAAUUCGAAGCAACGCGAAGAACCUUACCAAAUCUUGACAUCCUUUGACAACUCUAGAGAUAGAGCCUUCCCCUUCGGGGGACAAAGUGACAGGUGGUGCAUGGUUGUCGUCAGCUCGUGUCGUGAGAUGUUGGGUUAAGUCCCGCAACGAGCGCAACCCUUAAGCUUAGUUGCCAUCAUUAAGUUGGGCACUCUAAGUUGACUGCCGGUGACAAACCGGAGGAAGGUGGGGAUGACGUCAAAUCAUCAUGCCCCUUAUGAUUUGGGCUACACACGUGCUACAAUGGACAAUACAAAGGGCAGCGAAACCGCGAGGUCAAGCAAAUCCCAUAAAGUUGUUCUCAGUUCGGAUUGUAGUCUGCAACUCGACUACAUGAAGCUGGAAUCGCUAGUAAUCGUAGAUCAGCAUGCUACGGUGAAUACGUUCCCGGGUCUUGUACACACCGCCCGUCACACCACGAGAGUUUGUAACACCCGAAGCCGGUGGAGUAACCUUUUAGGAGCUAGCCGUCGAAGGUGGGACAAAUGAUUGGGGUGAAGUCGUAACAAGGUAGCCGUAUCGGAAGGUGCGGCUGGAUCACCUCCUUU